rnacentral:snRNA from 15 species
AAACUUACCUGGAGCUGGGUUCAGGCUGAUCAAUAAUGAUUUGACCCCGGGUGGGGGCUCACCAUUUCACCUUGGUGAGUCGAAACUCGCCACGGACCAUAGAUGCAUCGUUGGCAUAAUGGU